rnacentral:rRNA from 1 species
CCUACGGGUGGCAGCAGUGGGGAAUAUUGCACAAUGGGCGAAAGCCUGAUGCAGCAACGCCGCGUGAAGGAAGAAGGGUUUCGGCUCGUAAACUUCUAUCAACAGGGACGAAAGAAAUGACGGUACCUGAGUAAGAAGCCCCGGCUAACUACGUGCCAGCAGCCGCGGUAAUACGUAGGGGGCAAGCGUUAUCCGGAUGUACUGGGUGGAAAGGGAGCGUAGACGGUGCGCCAAGUCUGGAGUGAAAUGCCGCAGCUUAACUGCGGAACUGCUUUGGAAACUGGCGAACUAGAGUGCGGGAGGGGUAAGCGGAAUUCCUAGUGUAGCGGUGAAAUGCGUAGAUAUUAGGAGGAACACCGGUGGCGAAGGCGGCUUACUGGACCGUAACUGACGUUGAGGCUCGAAAGCGUGGGGAGCAAACAGGAUUAGAUACCCCAGUAGUC